rnacentral:rRNA from 1 species
AUGAACGCUAGCGACAGGCCUAACACAUGCAAGUCAGGGGCAGCACAAGGAGCAAUCUGAGGUGGCGACCGGCGCACGGGUGAGUAACACGUAUGCAACCUGCCUGUAAGCGGGGAAUAACCCGUUGAAAGACGGACUAAUACCGCAUAAUACUAAAUUACUGCAUGGUAAUUUAUUUAAACAUUUAUGGCUUACAGAUGGGCAUGCGCAUGAUUAGCUAGUUGGAGAGGUAACGGCUCCCCAAGGCAGCGAUCAUUAGGGGUUCUGAGAGGAAGGUCCCCCCACACUGGUACUGAGACACGGACCAGACUCCUACGGGAGGCAGCAGUGAGGAAUAUUGGUCAAUGGACGAGAGUCUGAACCAGCCAAGUCGCGUGCAGGAAGAAUUGUCCUAUGGAUUGUAAACUGCUUUUGCAGGGGAAUAAAGUGCAUCACGUGUGAUGUUUUGUAUGUACUCUGCGAAUAAGGAUCGGCUAACUCCGUGCCAGCCGCGGC